rnacentral:lncRNA from 1 species
UUUAUUAUUGAUUCAGUGGUAAGGUUUGAUUGUUUUAAUUGUCAAGACCAAGGUUCAAAUCAUAUUUCCAUCUUUUUUAUAAUGUCCAGCACAUUUUUUAUAUUUACUCGAAAAAUACAACUAAAAUGUUAAAAGCAAGACUCGAUCUCGUGUCCUAUUAUACGCAGAAAGGCAGGUUUACCACCUACACCACCAAAUAUUACAUGACAUAUUACAGAAUGUAUAACACAUAUACACAAAUAUAUUCAUGCAAUAUAUAUAAGCAAUGAAAUUUUUUGGGUGGUUCCUUCCCUGUCCAUAGUAGUAUUAAUUAGUUUAUAAAUAUGAAUAAUAUUGGCAUCGCGCUGUCCUAGAUUUACAACAUAGAUUCUGUGUAGCUUUAUUUCAUACUCUUCCUGUUUACUUGUAAGAAUCAAAUUCUACUUAUGGUUCUUGAGUAUAUUAGUAGAUAAUUCAAAGUUGACUUGGGAAAUGCCUUCACUCAUAUAUGAUUAAUGGACUAGAAAUUCGAAUGACUGUUAAUAUGGUCAUUUGAUUUGCUUAUAUGUUUGGGUUGUGUAUUUGCUCAUAGGAUGCUGUAGAAAUUUUCAAAGGUGGACAUACAUCCUGCCUGUUAAAAUUUUAUAUUUACAUGUUGCAUAUUUCAGAACUGAAGAUUAAUGGAUUACAGCGUGAUGCAUUUUUCUUUUCUUUCAGA